rnacentral:lncRNA from 1 species
UGAGAGAGGGUUCGACAAGGGAGGAUCAAGCAAAAAAGAUCACAAGAGGUGUCGCCAAAAAUUGCAUCAAGGUUCAAAGUUUCCGAUCUUUUGAGAUCAAUCAAUGCGAGGACGUGAUUCGUGACAAUCCAGUAUUGUAGGAUGUUAUCGAAUUUGAGAUUAUGUGAAAGAGUAAUGUGUUUUAUAUAUGGAAUUUUGUUCUUUGUUAUUCGAAGUUAAUCUUCAAGGGUCGAAG